rnacentral:misc_RNA from 1 species
GAUGAAGAACGCAGCGAAAUGCGAUACGUAGUGUGAAUUGCAGAAUUCAGUGAAUCAUCGAAUCUUUGAACGCACAUUGCGCCCUUUGGUAUUCCAAAGGGCAUGCCUGUUCGAGCGUCAUUUGUACCCUCAAGCUUUGCUUGGUGUUGGGCGUCUUGUCUCCAGUCCGCUGGAGACUCGCCUUAAAGUCAUUGGCAGCCGGCCUACUGGUUUCGGAGCGCAGCACAAGUCGCACUCUUUUCCAGCCAAGGUCAGUGUCCAACAAGCCUUUUUUCAACUUUUGACCUCGGAUCAGGUAGGGAUACCCGCUGAACUUAAGCAUAUCAAUAAGCGGGGA